CUCUCUCUCUCUUUUUCUUUUUCUUUUUUUAGCUUAGAUUACAACCAUAUAUGACAGCAAUGUUACAUAAUUCGGCAGUUUUUACAAAGUUGUUGCUAAACGAACGUCUGAAUCCUAUCCAGAUUAAUAAUGCUAACAAUAAAGAAAAUUACUAAUGACGUAGAAAAUUUGAUUACUAACUUUAUUUUUGGUUUUUGGAUUGAAAGAACUAGACAAAAAUAAUUACAUGCUUCCCAGGUUUUUCUUAAUGUGGAGCUACGGAAGGGGAAAAAUGAAAAUGGCCCAGCUGACCACACAAUGAUGAAAGAUAUUUCGGUCUUCCAUAAAACUUUCACGUCUUUUUCUUUUUUCCCGGGGUUUUGCUUGGAUUUUCUAAAAACGAGGACAAGGCAAUUUACAUGCCGACACUUUUUUUGUCAAGGUAUGAUUAAGGAACAGAGAUGAUGGAGGGAUCCAGUUUCAAGAUAAUGAAAGGUCCCCUAAGAAACGUGUGGAAAAGAGAAAAAGAAAAAGAAGAAGAAAUACCCGAUGGAAUUGAUCGGAAGAAAUCGGAGGAGAAAGAGGCGGAUGGAAUGACUGAUACUGAAAACGGGAAUGCUAGGAAGGUCCGAAGAGAGUGC
rnacentral:lncRNA from 1 species